rnacentral:tRNA from 1 species
ACCUGGUUGGCUCAGUCGGAAGAGCAUGUGACUCUUGAUCUUGAAGUCAUGAGUUCAAGACCCAUGCCGGGUG